GCCUUUGAGGAUGAUCAAACUAUUAACUUUCGUUCUUCCGAGAUAUCCCAUGUGGAAAAUUAUUGGAGACCUGAACUGAAGAGGC